UAGGGUUAUCACUAAAUAAUUUGAUGCGAUAGAAUUUGACGUUAAUAAAUUAGCGAAAAUUCGCUAAAGAUAAUUCAGCUAUAAAGUAAUAUUCACAUGGGCGCGACCAACGAACUACGAAUAAAUUACAAAAUGUGAGUUUAUAUACGUUUGAAGACAUAUUUCCACACAAAUUCUUAACAAAACGAUGGCAAUAUAGUUUCUAUUUGAUUUAUGAUGCAUACUUUUACUUUUCAAUAUCAUAUAUUAAUAAAUUUAAGAAAACAAAUUUAUUCGUCGCGAAAAAAAUGUAUGUUUAUACGAACUGUCAAGCUUUAUUCGCGUUCCACAUUUUCCACACUCGCAACGAAUAAAAUAAUCACGCGUACUUAACCUAAAAAAAUCAUUCUUGUUUUGGUUUCGGUGGUGAAUGGUGUUUGGCUGUGGGUCCUUGUCAAACUUCAUUCGCGGUGAAUUAAAAACUCUCAUGUAAAAGAAAUGUCAAAAUCGACGAAUAUUCGUUCAUUCGUUGGUCGUGCUCAUGUGAAUAGUGCUUAACCAAGUUCGAUUGUUUUGACAUUUGAAGCGAAUUUAAUUCAAGCGAAUCAAUACUCAUAAUACGAAGUUAUCGAAUUCGCAAGUGUUCAAGCUCGCUUCGCUGCUCAUAAUGUGGGCCAUGCUAUAUCAAAAACCUUAAUAAUCAAGAGCUACAAGUGCAUUUAAUUGAAAAAACUAUAGACCAGAAGCCAGACGAAACCAAUGAGAUUUAUUUUACUCGGAGUUCAAGUAGCUAUGUAUGAAUUAUUUCAAUAAUAUACUUGACUAGCGCCAAAUAAUACGAAAACAUCUUAACUACAACGGAAGUACUUAACAAAAAAUCCACUUAGUGUUUUUAUUUCGGGUACUGCCGAUUACAAACCAUGAUACAGAAAGCAACUUCCCUUAAGAAAUUUAGAUUAUUUGCUAAACAAGGGCACUGUUUUCCAGCCGUUGGCCUUUAUUUUUAAAUAAUUAUUCUACACUCAAUUGCUGCUGUAUCAUGAUCGGUGACAUCUGCCUCAGGGGCUAUGGUGGGUGCAGCCAAUAGUCUGCAAUGCAAUAAUACCAGCAGCAACAACACCACCAGAGCUACGAAUUAACGAACUUCCUCAGCUAUGUCAUCGACUUUGUGAAAUUCAAGUCAAUGUUUCAAGUGAAAAAUUUUAAUCAGUUUUGGAACUACUUAACAGCAGCUACAGCAACUUACGAGUAAUCUAAAUAUGGAUAUUUAAAAUUCUAUGGUUCUUUAGGAUUUUCAAAGUCCUCCGCCUAUUCAUGAGCCGCCAAGCAAUAUGUACCAACCGACCAAAAAAAACGAAUCUUGCAGCUGCAACUCAAAAUCAAAUGGGGUGGCGCAACAGUCCGUUUUGAACCAGGGCCUAGUGACUUACAACUCUCAACCAUUCCUGUGUGCGAGUACUGUUGUCAGGAAUGGAAGGGACCUACAAUUUAAGGCCGAAUCCGAACGGCUAGUUUGAGAAAGCACUUUUUCAUGACAAGAAUUACUCUUGAAGGAUUUGUCAAUUCCUCGCAAGAGGCAGUACCCGCGAAAAUUAAUUUUUUAAAUUAAGCUGGCACAGGCAGGGAUUGAACCCAAGACCCCGCAUGACAUUCCAACACACUAACCAUCAUGCCACGGGUACUACACAGCAACAUUUUAUGUUUUCAUACAACUGUCUCACUAAAUGACAGCGAGACACUGAGCUCAUCGAGACAGCGGCUUUUGCCGACACAGACCUUUGUUUCUUUUUAGCGCCAAACAGCAACUUCAAUGGCAAUGCCAAAAACAAAUGUAGGCCAUGACCAACUAAUGCACCUUUGAAAUCAUCAGCACGCCUUCAUCAUCAACCGUUCCAGAAUAGCUGCUGUUGUCGAUCACACUUGCCCUAGCACAGAAGUUAUCAUCUACUCGUAACACACAACUAGGCUAAUGCCAAGUCUAUCCAAGGCACUUGCACUGUCUUUGCACCCACUCCCAACUAGCGGUACCUGCGAGCGAAAAAUAAGAAUCUUGUAUUACUCGUAACACCUGCACCAUUGACUACAGAUAUGGAUAUGGAGCAUAAGCACAGAGCAUCAAAAUCAACGACAUCGGCCGCCAAGUUUUCCAUCAUCGAUCGUCGCUCCCAAAUAGCGGUAGUUGCGACAGACAAUGAUGACUUAGUUUAAGUUACCUAAGCUGAAGCAGUAGCAACAACCAACAAGUGUUAUGCAGACGCAUGUAUGGAAAUCGAAAUAAAGUAUAAAAGCCUAUACUGUGUGGGCGUAGAAAACAGUCCAUUAUAA